AGUGAACGCUGGCGGUAGGCUUAACACAUGCAAGUCGAACGGCAGCACCGUAAGAGCUUGCUCUUACGGGUGGCGAGUGGCGGACGGGUGAGGAAUACAUCGGAAUCUACUUUUUCGUGGGGGAUAACGUAGGGAAACUUACGCUAAUACCGCAUACGACCUACGGGUGAAAGCAGGGGAUCUUCGGACCUUGCGGGAUUGAAUGAGCCGAUGUCGGAUUAGCUAGUUGGCGGGGUAAAGACCCACCAAGGCGACGAUCCGUAGCUGGUCUGAGAGGAUGAUCAGCCACACGGGAACUGAGACACGGUCCAGGCUCCUACGGGAGGCAGCAGUGGGGAAUAUUGGACAAUGGGCGCAAGCCUGAUCCAGCCAUACCGCGUGGGUGAAGAAGGCCUUCGGGUUGUAAAGCCCUUUUGUUGGGAAAGAAAAGCAGCAGGUUAAUACCCCGCUGUUCUGACGGUACCCAAAGAAUAAGCACCGGCUAACUUCGUG
rnacentral:rRNA from 1 species